UACGGGGGGAGCAAGCGUUGUUCGGAUUUACUGGGCGUAAAGGGCGCGUAGGCGGUCACGACAAGUCAGUUGUGAAAUCUCCGGGCUUAACUCGGAACGGUCAACUGAUACUGUCGGACUAGAGUGCAGAAGGGGCAACUGGAAUUCUCGGUGUAGCGGUGAAAUGCGUAGAUAUCGAGAGGAACACCUGCGGCGAAGGCGGGUUGCUGGGCUGACACUGACGCUGAGGCGCGAAAGCGUGGGGAGCGAUCCGG
rnacentral:rRNA from 1 species